rnacentral:rRNA from 1 species
UACGGAGGGUGCGAGCGUUGUCCGGAAUCACUGGGCGUAAAGGGCGCGUAGGUGGCGACCCAAGUCAACGGUGAAAGCUCGGCGCUUAACGCCGAGUCGGCCGUCGAUACUGGGUGGCUCGAGCACUGUAGAGGCAGAUGGAAUUCCGGGUGUAGCGGUGGAAUGCGUAGAGAUCCGGAAGAACACCGGUGGCGAAGGCGGUCUGCUGGGCAGUUGCUGACACUGAGGCGCGACAGCGCGGGGAGCAAACAGG